rnacentral:tRNA from 1 species
AAGGGAGACCUAAUUCAGGUAUGGGACGAAAAAAAAGUAGUCGCUACCAAGAAUCAAUCCCAAAAGGUCGGAGCGAGGUAUGAGGCUUUCAAACUAGGUUCUGGGUUCAAACAAGACCUGAAUCAGGAACAAGGGCUAUUAGCUCCGGUGGUUAGAGCGCACCCCUGAUAAGGGUGAGGUCCCUGGUUCGAGUCCAGGAUGGCCCACCUGCACAGGUGGCAAAAACAAGAGAAGCGAGGAAUCAGCACCUUAUCUUAUCUAUAUAUAAGAGAGAAUGCUGGCUCUGAGUAAAGAGUCCAGAGGAACCUUGAAAACUGCAUAGAGCUAGGUGAAAAAGCCAAAAAAGAAGACCGCAA